rnacentral:lncRNA from 1 species
UAAAAUUAAGCUUAUUAUAAAAUGCGAACUAAAGUAAUUUAUAAUUAUGGAUCAUAACUGAUAAUUAAGUGCAAAUCAACUGCGAAUGAGUACGUGUAUCGAAUCACUUUCAUCGAAAAGUGAAAUGUUUUGUUCUGUACAAGAUUUUUAUCUUUUUCCGGGUAGAUCGUGUACAGAUAUAUAUCAUGUACAAAUUAAUUUAUUUUAUCGUACAUAAAUUUGGCGAAAAGAUAUACGUACUAUUUACAUAACAGAUGACACUCUUGAGAACGUCGCGUGUUCCAUCACGACUGAUAGAAUCGCACGUGACACAGAUAAUCAGUGGCUUCCAAGAAUUACGCUUUUCAAUGAUAUGAUGGAAAUCCCCGUCUCAGACGAGAUUCGAUAUGUGCAUCUCAACAUCCGUUAUCUCUGGUUAGAUAACGUUAUCGAUAAACGCGCGAGUAGAACGAUGCCGAGACGUUGCCACGCGGUAUACGAUGAUAAUUAUUAGUGUACAAGCUACCCUGUACUUACGAAGGACCUAUUAUUAGUACGGACACGUAUUACCGUCGGGUUCUCCUUCGCUUAUGGCCCAUAAGUGAUUUCCACCAUAAGCGUCCGAGGAAAGUAUCGUGUCACGCGACGCAAGAAAUCGAAAUUGGGUCAUCGUGCAAAUAACACGGAUGGAAGUGACACGGUGCGAACUCAGAAAUAAAAAAAAGAGGAAGGCGUGUCUGAGAGAACAUUACGGCCACCAGGGACGCGCUGCAAAAUGGCGGAGAUGCAGCCUCAGGCACUUAUUAGUCCGCGGUCACUCGACAAAUGCAAUGUCUUCGAUUCGAUUCGAGCCGUAUUGUGUCAGACAGAAAAGAUGGUUUGUUUAAGAUGUUUAAAAAUAAACCGGUCGCAUUACAUCAUCGAUUAAUUCUGCAAAAUUUAAGCGAAGAUGCAAAAUUCACAUUCAAUGAUUAAUAAUAUAAUAACGUGCGAAUUCCUACAACGUUUAUACGAUCAACAAAAGUCUUUAUAAAUAAUUUUGCAUUUGUAAAUAAAUCCAGAUAACAAAGCAUGUUAAACUAAAUCGCAUAAAUCUGUGAUUACUUAUGAUACUGACAACUUGUAUUUUCCGAUUUUGAAAGCAAUACAUAGGCAACAAUGUAUAUGUGUAUUGUCAACAGAUUAACAGAGCAAGAUAGUAGUAGAAAGAUCAAAGUUACCCAACAUUAUUAGUAAUAUAAUAGCGUCAUAAUAUCAGUUAUUAUUACAAUGAAACACAAAUUUUGAUAAUAAAUCUGAUAAUUUCAAAAUUGCCGGCAUGUUUCUAAUACAUUACUAACCAAAGUUAUCAUAUUGUAAAAGCAAUUUUUCCAACAAAUGUCCUUCAGUUGCUGCAAUUCCGAUAUAUACUUGCGAGCAAUAUUUCAUAUUAUUGAGAUUUAUUAUAAUCGCGCGUCGAAAAGAUCAACGCUAUUCGAUAUAACGCUAUAUCGUCGCCUCCGAAAUUGCAUCGAUCCUUCCGAAGCGAUAGUCACGACCAGCCGGGAUAUUUUGAUAAUUCCCUUUUUUGCGAGCGUGUAACGCGGAAGAGAUCAAAGGCUUGCCAGUAGCACCUGUCCUCUAUCCCCGUCUUGUCAUCCAGCGGGACUGCGCCAGGGGGCUGGAGAACCCAAUGAACUCUCUCUUUCCGUAUCUCCGUUUCUCCCCGAUGUUCUCCCUCUA